rnacentral:rRNA from 1 species
UACGGAAGGCAGCAGUGGGGAAUAUUGCACAAUGGGCGAAAGCCUGAUGCAGCUAUGCCGCGUGUAUGAAGAAGGCCUUAGGGUUGUAAAGUACUUUCAUCGGGGAGGAAAAACAAAACUAAUAAUUUUAUUUCUUGACGUUACCCGAAAAAGAAGCACCGGCUAACUCCGUGCCAGCAGCCGCGGUAAUACGGAGGGUGCUAGCGUUAAUCAGAAUUACUGGGCGUAAAGAGCACGUAGGUGGUUUUUUUAAGUCAGAUGUGAAAUCCCUGGGCUUAACCUAGGAACUGCAUUUUGAAACUGAAAUACUAGAGUAUCGUAGAGGGAGGUAGAAUUCUAGGUGUAGCGGUGAAAUGCGUAGAUAUCUGGAGGAAUACCUGUGGCGAAAGCGGCCUCCUAAACGAAUACUGACACUGAGUGCGAAAGGCUGGGGAGCAAACAGGGAUUAGA